AUUAACGCUAGCUGUGCGCCUAACACAUGCAAGUCGUGCGAGAUCAUCUAGAUAGCUUGCUAUAGAGAUGUGAAAGCGGCAAACGGGUGAGUAACACGUUGAUAAUCUGCCCUCUAUUCAGGGAUAAGCCAUAGAAAUGUGGUCUAAUACCGGAUGGCCCAUAUAGCUGUAAUGCGGUAUGGUAAAGCUUCGGCGAUAGAGGAGGAAUCUGCGUCCUAUCAGCUUGUUGGCGGGGUAAAAGCCCACCAAGGCUAUGACGGGUAGCUGGUCUGAGAGGAUGACCAGUCACAAUGGGACUGAGACACGGCCCAUACUCCUACGGGAGGCAGCAGUGAGGAAUUUUCCGCAAUGGCCUAACGGCUGACGGAGCGACACAGCGUGAAGGAUGAAGGGUCUAGGCUCGUAAACUUCUUUUCUGAAGGAAUAAGGUCUGAAGUUACUUCAGGAAUAAGCAACGGCUAACUACGU
rnacentral:rRNA from 1 species